AUGGGGCGUGUCCUCCUCGCAAACAAUUCGCUGGAUGAGGUAGUGGCGUCCAUGAAGCAGUCACUCGGUGCGGUGUUGCACCGCAUGGAGGCGUUUGAGCGUGCACCACUGGGUUCCAUCGAUCCACCACCACUCCACCAGCGGGCGGCUCCCCUUCGCACUGAGGGACAGCGUAUGGAUCAACACCAUACAGGGGUCGACCUGCGUGCGCCUCGGGCUCCCAGAUUCAACAUGAACAUCGGUGAGCAUCUAAAAUCACAGCCUCCGCCGUUUACUGAACUGUCUGAUGACGAGGAUCAGUGUUUAUCGCCUGAGUCCAUUCAGCUUUCCUCCACAACUCGUACUCAUACGCGUCUCCCUCGUUCGGAUUUUCCUAAGUUUGAUGGUGAGAACCCGAGGUGGUGGAAGAAACAGUGUGAGAAAUAUUUUCGUAUGUACACAGUUCAACCAGCCUUGUGGGUCGAUUUUGCGACUAUGCAUUUUCAGGGGAAUGCAGCAUUAUGGUUGCAAACAUAUGAAGCUAUGCAUACUAUUGACAAUUGGUCUGCAUUGUGUGUUGUGGUCUUUGCCAAGUUUAACAAGAACAAGUAUUCUAGGACAAUUGAUCUCUUCUUUGCAUUGCGUCAGGAAGGAAUAGUGGAGGAAUAUGGGCAUCUGUUUGAGGAACUCAUGCACAAAAUCCUUGUCUACAAUCAUGCAUAUGAUGAGAUAUUCUUUGUUAAUCGUUUCAUUGAAGGGCUGAAACCUGCUAUUCGAGCUCCGGUGAAGCCUUAG
rnacentral:rRNA from 1 species